UACAGAGGUCUCAAGCGUUGUUCGGAUUCAUUGGGCGUAAAGGGCGCGUAGGCGGGUGCUCAAGUCUGUGGUGAAAUCCUCCGGCUCAACCGGAGAACUGCCAUGGAUACUGGGUGCCUCGAGGGUGGUAGGGGUAUGCGGAACUAUCGGUGGAGCGGUGAAAUGCGUUGAUAUCGAUAGGAACUCCGGUGGCGAAGGCGGCAUACUGGACCACUUCUGACGCUGAGGCGCGAAAGCCAGGGGAGCAAACGGG
rnacentral:rRNA from 1 species